rnacentral:rRNA from 1 species
GCACUCUGUGAAACAAGAUACAGGCUAGCGGCGGACGGGGUGAGUAACACGUGGGUAACCUGCCCAAAGAGAUCGGGAUAACACCUGGAAACAGAUGCUAAUACCGGAUAACAACAGAUGAUGCCUAUCAACUGUUUAAAAGAUGGUUCUGCUAUCACUCUUGGAUGGGACCUGCGGUGCAUUAGCUAGUUGGUAGGGGUAAACGGGCCUACCAAGGCGAUGAUGCAUAGCCGAGUUGAGAGACUGAUCGGCCACAUUGGGACUGAGACACGGCCCAAACUCCUACGGGAGGCAGCAGUAGGGAAUCUUCCACAAUGGACGCAAGUCUGAUGGAGCAACGCCGCGUGAGUGAAGAAGGGUUUCGGCUCGUAAAGCUCUGUUGUUGGUGAAGAAGGACAGGGGGUAGUAACUGACCUUUGUUUGACGGUAAUCAAUUAGAAAGUCACGGCUAACUACGUGCCAGCAGCCGCGGUAAAU